UUUUAAUGCUUUUGACAUUCUGCCUUCUCAUUCUUUGCUAAUACGGUGAAGGGUGAAAGAGAAAGGAAUGUUAUAGAAUGCUAAGCUUAUUAAUGUUAAGAAUAUCAUUCUUUCUUUUUAAUUUAUAUGUAUUUGUGAUUACAGAUUUCAAAAAAGGGUUACAAGUGAGCAUAGGAUGGAUACAACUAGCUCAAAGAAUGGUGUGAUUUUCAGAUAUUUUACUCGGUAUAUAUUGCUGAGUUCUUAUGCUGUUCUAAAUUGAGUGAUUUCAGUUUUAUAGCAAGGAAAGAAGGGAGUGAAGAAAGAAACUGGACUUGGUCUAACAUAUAAAAAGGAUGAAAAUUUUGGAGAAUGGUACUCUGAGGUUGUUGUUAAUAGUAAAUGAUUGAAUACUAUGAUAUAUCCGGCUUUUACAUUUUGCUACCUUGGAUGAUGGCAAUCUUGGAAACCUUACUUGCAUUUUUUGAUGUAGAGAUAAAAAAGCUUGAUGUAGAAAGUGCAUGAUUUCUUCUAUUGGUAACAAAGAAUGUUUUGCAAAAAAGAGAAGGAUCAUAUUGAAGGUUUCGCUACGGA